rnacentral:sRNA from 1 species
AACCAACGCCCGUUUCUGUGGUACAACCAUUCCAAUCCCGGAAGUUUCCAGUUGUUUAUUUUAAUUUUUAUUUUAUACUUUCUUUGAUAACAUCUUUUUCACUCAAGACGGAAUAUUUCAAGGAAAUAUUCACGAUCUUACUUUUACUUUUUCUGUUUUUAUCCUCGUCACCCUCCAGUUUAGCAAGGAAUCACCAAAAUACCACUAAAAUAAGCUGACAGAACCCUGGAAAUGACCGGUUGUCCAGCCUGUCGACUAAGCUGAGCUGGUAUUCGAUCCAACUCCGGCGAAUUUCUUUCACCCAAAAACCCGUAAGGUGGGUCGCUCAAUACAAGGUGUUAUAACUACACAAGGUCAAGACUGGCCAACAUCGUGGGAUGGAUCCGCGGGGUGAGUUGUUGGCAGCCGCGAGAACAACGAGUUCAAUCUCGAUAAGUUAUUAGGAACG